rnacentral:rRNA from 1 species
GAUGAACGCUGGCGGCGUGCCUAAUACAUGCAAGUCGAGCGAACGGACGAGAAGCUUGCUUCUCUGAUGUUAGCGGCGGACGGGUGAGUAACACGUGGAUAACCUACCUAUAAGACUGGGAUAACUUCGGGAAACCGGAGCUAAUACCGGCUGAUAUUUUGAACCGCAUGGUUCAAAAGUGAAAGACGGUCUUGCUGUCACUUAUAGAUGGAUCCGCGCUGCAUUAGCUAGUUGGUAAGGUAACGGCUUACCAAGGCAACGAUGCAUAGCCGACCUGAGAGGUGGAUCGCCAACACUGGAACUGAGAAACGGUCCGGACUCCUACGGGAGGCAGCAGUAGGGAAUCUGCCGAAAGGGGCGAAAGCCUGACGGAGCAACGCCGCGUGAGUGAUGAAGGUCUUCGAAUCGUAAAACUCUGUUAUUAGGGAAGAACAUAUGUGGAAGUAACUGUGCACAUCUUGACGGUACCUAAUCAGAAAGCCACGGCUAACUACGUG